AACGAACGCUGGCGGCAUGCCUAACACAUGCAAGUCGAACGAGACCUUCGGGUCUAGUGGCGCACGGGUGCGUAACGCGUGGGAACCUGCCCUUAGGUUCGGAAUAACUCCCCGAAAGGGGUGCUAAUACCGGAUAAUGUCUUCGGACCAAAGAUUUAUCGCCUUUGGAUGGGCCCGCGUUGGAUUAGCUAGUUGGUAGGGUAAGAGCCUACCAAGGCGACGAUCCAUAGCUGGUCUGAGAGGAUGAUCAGCCACACUGGGACUGAGACACGGCCCAGACUCCUACGGGAGGCAGCAGUGGGGAAUAUUGGAAAAUGGGCGAAAGCCUGAUCCAGCAAUGCCGCGUGAGUGAUGAAGGCCUUAGGGUUGUAAAGCUCUUUUACCCGGGAUGAUAAUGACAGUACCGGGAGAAUAAGCUCCGGCUAACUCCGUG
rnacentral:rRNA from 1 species